UACGUAGGGGGCGAGCGUUGUCCGGAUUUAUUGGGCGUAAAGAGCGUGUAGGCGGCCAGGUAGGUCUGCUGUGAAAACUCGAGGCUCAACCUCGAGACGUCGGUUGAAACCGUAUGGCUAGAGUCCGGAAGAGGAGAGUGGAAUUCCCGGUGUAGCGGUGAAAUGCGCAGAUAUCGGGAAGAACACCCGUGGCGAAGGCGGCUCUCUGGGACGGUACUGACGCUGAGACGCGAAAGCGUGGGGAGCGAACAGG
rnacentral:rRNA from 1 species